GAUGAACGCUGGCGGCGUGCCUAAUACAUGCAAGUCGAGCGAACGGACGAGAAGCUUGCUUCUCUGAUGUUAGCGGCGGACGGGUGAGUAACACGUGGAUAACCUACCUAUAAGACUGGGAUAACUUCGGGAAACCGGAGCUAAUACCGGAUAAUAUUAUGAACCGCAUGGUUCAAAAGUGAAAGACGGUCUUGCUGUCACUUAUAGAUGGAUCCGCGCUGCAUUAGCUAGUUGGUAAGGUAACGGCUUACCAAGGCAACGAUGCAUAGCCGACCUGAGAGAGUGAUCGGCCACACUGGAACUGAGACACGGUCCAGACUCCUACGGGAGGCAGCAGUAGGGAAUCUUCCGCAAUGGGCGAAAGCCUGACGGAGCAACGCCGCGUGAGUGAUGAAGGUCUUCGGAUCGUAAAACUCUGUUAUUAGGGAAGAACAUAUGUGUAAGUAACUGUGCACAUCUUGACGGUACCUAAUCAGAAAGCCACGGCUAACUACGUG
rnacentral:rRNA from 1 species